GCAGGCUGUCAGGGCCCCUGAGGAGCAGCCUUCAGCUCAGUUCAGAGAUUGGGUCAGGGGCUCCCCUGCUGUGGAUCCUGCUGCUCUGGAUUACAGGCUCCACUGGGGACAUUGUGCUGACCCAAUCUCCAUUCUCCUUACCUGUGACCCCAGAGGAGAGGGCCACCAUCUCCUGCACGGCAAGCCAGAGUGUCCAUUGAGGAAGAUCUAACUUUAUUAACUGGCAUCAACGGACACCAGUACAACCCCCUAAACUCCUGAUCUAUGCAGAGGUGAAUAGAUUCUCUGAGGUCCCAGCCAGGUUCAGUGGCAGUGGGUCUGUGACUGACUUCACCCUCACAAUUCACCUUCCGGAAGCCAAUGAUGCUGCAAACUAUUACUGUCAGCAGAGUAAUGAGCUUCCUCCUGCAAUGCUCUAG